GCCCACGUAGCCCAACCGGCAGCAUGGCAAGGAAUUUAAAAUUCUUAAAGUGUGGGUUCGAAUCCCACCGUGGGUACCA
rnacentral:tRNA from 1 species